AACGCACCUUGCGCUCCUUGGUAUUCCUUGGAGCAUGCCUGUUUGAGUAUCAUGAAAUUCUCAAAGUCAAUCCUUUUUGUUAAUUCAAUUGGUUUGCUUUGGACUUGGAGGUCUUUGCAGAUGUCACAGUCUGCUCCUCUUAAAUUUAUUAGCUGGAUCUCAGUAUACACUUGGUUCCACUCAGCGUGAUAAGUAUCAUUCGCUGAGGACACUGUAAAAGGUGGCCAGGAAAUACAGAUGAACCGCUUCUAAUAGUCCAUUUACUUGGACAAUUUACUUUAUGAUCUGAUCUCAAAUCAGGUAGGACUACCCGCUGAACUUAA
rnacentral:misc_RNA from 1 species